GCGGGUGUAGUUCAAUGGCAGAACGGCAGCUUCCCAAGCUGCAUACGAGGGUUCGAUCCCCUUCACCCGCUCCA
rnacentral:tRNA from 2 species